rnacentral:lncRNA from 1 species
AAGAUCGACGUGUUAAGUAUUCACCGGCGAGAAUCUAAUGACUUUGACAUUGUUUGGCUCAAUCUGACCUCUACUUUAAUUCUAAGUUAACAUUAAUUUUAUUGUAUGAUGUGGAAUACUCUUUGCGCUACUUUUUAAUUUAUUUUUCUUAUAAAAUAAUUCACUUUUCUAAAUUAAUUUGGAUUUCGAGCACCUCAAUACUUCUCUUGUUGACUUCUUC